UACAGAGGGGGCCAGCGUUGUUCGGAAUCACUGGGCGUAAAGGGCGCGUAGGCGGCUUUAUAAGUCCGGUGUGAAAGUCACAGGCUCAACCUGUGAAUGCCGCUGGAAACUGUCUGGCUAGAGUCCGGAAGGGGCGAGUGGAAUUCUCGGUGUAGCGGUGAAAUGCGUAGAUAUCGAGAGGAACACCUGCGGCGAAGGCGGGUUGCUGGGCUGACACUGACGCUGAGGCGCGAAAGCCAGGGGAGCGAACGGG
rnacentral:rRNA from 1 species